UCGCCCAUCAUUCCGAUUAAACUCGUGGCAGCCCUUGCUAUCGUGUCUUUAGGGGUCAUCAACAGUUACAGCACCACGUUAGCAGGGAGAACCCAAGUCGUCUUUACUUUUGUAAAACUCAUCGCUCUCAUCAUCAUCGUCAUCGGAGGAAUCGUCAAAUUGAUUCAAGGGAACGUAUCACAGUUUGAAAAUAGUUUUGAGGGUACGACGACUUCACCUUCCAACAUCGCCUUGGCGUUCUACAAUGCUCUCUGGGCUUACGACGGCUGGAAUAAUCUCAAUUACGUAACAGAGGAACUUAAGGACCCUGCAAAAAAUCUUCCGCGUGCUAAUGUACUGGGCGUCAUGAUAACCACAGUCAUCUACCUGUUGGUCAACAUCUCCUACCUGACGGCGAUGACGUCAUUAGAACUCCUCAAUUCGCCGGCCGUGGCCGUGACGUGGGGAGACCGAGUCCUGGGAGCGGCUGCUGUUCUGAUGCCCCUGUCUGUGCUGUUCUCUACGUUUGGUGCUGCGAACGGAACCCUCUUUGGAGGAGGAAGGGUUGUAUACGUUGCCGCGAGAGAGGGUCAUCUUCCAGAAAUGUUAUCAUACGUACAAUGCAAAUAUUACACACCAUUUCCUUCCAUCAUAUUCACCAUCGUGAUUUCGUUGAUUAUGAUCAUCCCUGGAGAUAUUAGUUCCCUGGUGGACUUCUUCAGUUUCUCCGCGUGGCUGUUCUAUGGGGUGACAGUCUCCUGUUUAAUUAUCUUCCGCUUCACAAAAAAGGACGUGGAAAGACCAAUUAAAGUUCCUAUUGUGAUACCGAUCCUGUUUGUGUUGAUUGCUAUCUAUCUCGUGAUUGGUCCGAUCAUCGAGAGCCCACAGAUUGAACUUUUGUAUGCGUUCUUGUUUAUCAUUGGAGGACUGCUGUUCUACUUUCCAUUCGUCUACUUUAAGCUAAAAAUCAAAGGAUUUGAAUGGUUAACCACAUCAGUGCAACUACUGUGUGAAGUUGUUCCUAGUCCUUACGAACCAGAAAGCUAGUAGAGUUCACAACUCUAAAACAUUGCCAUACCAUAUUUGUUUUAUUCAUUUUUCUCAAUGUAACCCAUCUGCUUGUACCAAUAUUUUCAAUAUUUAUAUAUAUUAUUUUCUUCAAAGAGCACAAAAUUUUACUUAUAUAAAAAUCUCACGUUUUAUUAUACAUUUCUUUAUAUAUAAUUUAAAAGUAAACAUUUUUUUUCUUGAAAUCUUUUAUUUUUUUCGAUGAAACCAAAAUUGUACUCAGUAAUCUUUUUAUAACAUUCUAUUCAUAAGCAAGAUUGUUUUCGAAUCUCCAGGUUUACGUCGAUAUAAGUCAGUUUACCUUGUAUUCUCUUAUUUUGCUUUGUGCUAGAUGCUAUUUGAACACGAGGUUACUAUUGUUUCGUUGCUGUUACAUGUGAUUGCAAUGUCUUUUAGCCUGUGAUAUGCUUUAUUUUUUAUACAAUAAAUAGUACUCGCUUU
rnacentral:misc_RNA from 1 species